ensembl:lncRNA
CUGGGGAUAUCUUCCCCUGAUGUUUAGCAUCUGGCAAGGAGAAGGCCCAUGCCUGCUCUCUCCAUGCGGAACUUUGUGAUUUCAGCAGGGAGGAAUGGAUGAAGGGUGCAAAGCCAACAGAAGGGGGAAUGGAGCAGCAUUGGACAAUCACUGCUAGGAAAUAAGCCAGACUCUGGUGAGCAGGCUAGGCCUCUGAUCUGAGGGCCUUCCACUCGGCCACGGCUCCUUCCUAGCUGAAGUCUGACUUCAUCCCUACCCAGGAAGGAGAGUUGCAGUCUUUGCAGUUUGGGCUUCCCCUGAACUCUUGCUUAUUCCUGUAACCCUGAACUUCACGCUGCUUUGGUGAGUUGAAACGUCCCCUACGUCAUCCCCUGACUGGUUCCUUUCUGACCUAGGAUAAGGUUAAAUUACACCCAGCUUAGUUGAAGGCCUUGUAGAUCCAUAAAGCUCUGGUUAAAAUGCAACUUAGAGCCCUAGAAGGGUGGCCUAUAAGGCAGCUAGUAAUAACGCUGAGAGCAUUAGUACAAAUUAACUUAUCAGAUCAGAGUCAGGUCUCCUAACAAGGGCUCAUGUGGACGGGACCAGAACAGCUCUGCUAGUGAAAAGGGGCUGGCCCAUACUUGCAGAAGCAAGAUUUAGGAGAUUGUGUGGGCUGUGGGAAGGAAACCCAGCUGGUACCUGGGCAGCGUUGGAGUGGAUUCUGUACAUCUUUGAUCAUAGUCUGGUCUGGUCCUUCCCUUCCCUUCUUAGCUGUGUGCUUACCUAUCUCCCCUCUGAUCCUAGUUUACUAUCAGGCACAGGGGCGGGGAUAAUAAUAGUUACCGUUUAUUACAGCACCUACGCACGCUGCUAGGUACUUUACAUAUAUUAUGUCUCUUCUCACACCAACCCUUUGAGCAGUGUAUUAUUAGUCCAUUUUAUAGAUGGAAAAACCCACGGCAGAGAUAGGGGAAGGCACUUGUUAAAGUCGCUCAACUGUAGAACCAGUAUUGAACUCAGUUCUGUAGGACCCUUUGGCUAACUAACUCGUGCUUUUCAGAAGCAAAGAUGUCAGGUUCACUCCUUCAGCUCACUCCCCCCAAACCCCUGGGCACACAAACUAACCUGUAUCUUAAUAUACAGUCUAAUCAAAUAAGAGUUUCCUAAUUUUGCAUUUUAUAAAACAAUGGAGUCACCUGGAAUGAACUUUUUGGCAUUUGAGGUCUUUGGUUCAUCUUGCAGGUGUGAGAUUUAGUCACGUGGUUCUAUGUUGAUUUCUUCUCCAAGUGCAUGAUUCACUCUUAUUCAUUGUAUGAAGAACGUCUUAUUUUUAAAGGCCUCUUGCUCUAUGGUUAAGUAUUCUACGCUUGAAUUGCUACAUUGGAUGACUCCCAUUGUUUACCUUGCUUGUCCGUGUGCCUUCCAAGCAGGUUUAAUCCCACUGAGAGCAACUUCCAUUAAGAUUUGGCUAACUUUACAGUCAUUGAUUGAUCAACAUAUACUGAGGCAGCCUGGGCCAUUCUCUUUACUCCAGAUGUUUUUUCUCUUGAUCCACAUACCACUUUGCUAGGAGGGAGACACUCAAAUUGUUCAGGUACCUGAGUCUUUAUAUCAGAACCAGGUCUGUUCUGAGACAGUGACAGUUGGAAGUUUCUCUGAUGUGUCUGGGGAGGUUUUAAUACUGUUACCUAAUAGCUAGUGUGACAUUAUGCAAACCACAGCUUCCUUAGCC